UAAUACGGGGGGAGCAAGCGUUGUUCGGAUUUACUGGGCGUAAAGGGCGCGUAGGCGGCGCAACAAGUCACUUGUGAAAUCUCCGGGCUUAACUCGGAGCGGUCAAGUGAUACUGUCGUGCUAGAGUGCAGAAGGGGCAACUGGAAUUCUCGGUGUAGCGGUGAAAUGCGUAGAUAUCGAGAGGAACACCUGCGGCGAAGGCGGGUUGCUGGGCUGACACUGACGCUGAGGCGCGAAAGCUAGGGGAGCGAACGGGAUUAGAUACCCCGGUAGUCCUAGCCUUAAACGAUGAAUGCUUGGUGUCCGGGGUUAGAUAGUCCCCGGGUGCCGUCGCUAACGCUUUAAGCAUUCCGCCUGGGGAGUACGCACGCAAGUGUG
rnacentral:rRNA from 1 species